UACAGAGGGUGCAAGCGUUAAUCGGAGUUACUGGGCGUAAAGGGCGCGUAGGUGGUUGUGUAAGUUGUUUGUGAAAUCCCCGGGCUUAACCUGGGAACUGCAAGCAAAACUGUGCAACUUGAGUACUGUAGAGGGUAGUGGAAUUUCCGGUGUAGCGGUGAAAUGCGUAGAGAUCGGAAGGAACACCAGUGGCGAAGGCGGCUACCUGGACAGAUACUGACACUGAGGCGCGAGAGCGUGGGGAGCAAACAGG
rnacentral:rRNA from 1 species